GAUCCCGAGGUUUGUGCUGCUUUCAUGUUUCAGUUAUUUCUCUUCCUAUGACAUAUCUCACCUCAGUGCUCCCCCAGAGCUAUAUUUAUCAAGGCCGAGGCACUGACUUUCAGUGCUGCAUCCUCUACACAUAUUGUCACCAGCAGCAGUGUAAAUGAGCCAUCAUUAUCCCAACCAGAUUUUAAAAUGUCUGUGAUUGUUUUAUGUAAAAUUUCUCCAUAAUCAGCUGCAGGGCACAUGCACGGAACAUAUACCAACAGUUUUCAGCAGGGGUGUGGUGGGGGGAGGCGCAAAGAGAGCAACUGAAAGCCCCUGCUUAAAGGAUGGCAGAGGCAUUAAUUUUACUGAUAUCAGUAUAAGUGGUAGGAAAUUUGGACGCAUCACCUUUCUGCUCACCUUUUUCUCAUCAUUUCUUCUCAUUUUCAUUCCUUGUCCCUUGCCACUAACAUUUCAGACUGCCACACAGCAGAAAGGGACUUGAGUUGGCAUGCACUCGGCAAAUGUGGGGAAAUGCUAGUGUGGUGUUUGUGCAAAUGCUGCAAAUAUUAUCAAGAGGAAGAGGAAGAGGAAGAGGAAGAGGAAGAGGAAGAGGAAGAAGAAGAAGAAGAAGAAGAAGAAGAAGAAGAAGAAGAAGAAGAAGAAGAAGAAGAAGAAGAAGUGGUGAAUACCACACAAAACAACCCCCACAAAAUUUGAACACAAAGUAGCCCAAAAAGCAGCCCUCUGAUUCUGUCUUCCUGCUCUCCAGUUCCAGCCUGCCACUCCAUCCUGUUGCUCUUGCCUCCCAUACCAGCUCCCAUUCUGAUCUCCAAACCAGACCCACGUCCUGAAUUACGCACGACUCACUUCACCUCCCUUGGACAGUAGAUCCAGCAGUUGAUCUACCUGAGCCGUUUGGCUGAAUCAUCCAACAUACAUCUGAAUCAUUGUGGUAUCUCUGCUUCCUUGCGAUCAACAGUACAACAUAGCUGAGGGAACAUCUCUGUCUUAGCCCAUGGCUAAAUGCUCUUUUCUCUUGAUCCCAAACCUCAUGCAACAUUUGCACAUGGGAUCUUUAAACUGUACAUGUGCUAAAUUUGUAUACAUUUGAACUUUCCAUAGAAAUGACACAGACUGUAUCCUUU